AGACGUAGCAAUACGUUUGUAAAGCGGCGAACGGGUGAUGAAUACAUGGGUAACCUACCCUCGAGUGGGGAAUAACUAGCCGAAAGGUUAGCUAAUACCGCGUACGCUCCUUGGACUUCGGUUCAGGGAGGAAAGCGAUACCGUGGGUAUCGCGCUCUUGGAUGGGCUCAUGUCCUAUCAGCUUGUUGGUGAGGUAACGGCUCACCAAGGCUUCGACGGGUAGCUGGUCUGAGAGGACGAUCAGCCACACUGGCACUGCGACACGGGCCAGACUCCUACGGGAGGCAGCAGUAAGGAAUAUUGCGCAAUGGGCGAAAGCCUGACGCAGCGACGCCGCGUGGGGGAUGAAGGUCUUCGGA
rnacentral:rRNA from 1 species